UACGUAGGGUGCAAGCGUUGUCCGGAAUUAUUGGGCGUAAAGAGCUCGUAGGCGGCUUGGUCACGUCGACUGUGAAAACCCGGGGCUCAACUCCGGGACCUGCAUGUCGAUACGGGCUGGCUUGAGUGCGGUGAGGGAGACUGGAAUUCCGUGGUGUAGCGGUGAAAUGCGCAGAUAUCAGGAGGGAACACCGGUGGCGAAGGCGGGUCUCUGGGCCGAUAUCGACGCUGAGGAGCGAAAGCGUGGGGAGCGAACAGG
rnacentral:rRNA from 1 species